AGUCGCCGCGGGUCAUGUUGCUCCGUCCGCCGGUGGUUCGGUUAUCCGCGAUCCGCUGAGGGGUUCGGGGGGCAGCCUCGCCGGUCGGUCGGUCGGUCGCCCGGCUGCCUUGCCAGCGCGCGCUUCACCCGCGCUUAAGCGCUCGCUUCCCGUUGGGGCUGCGGCUCCGAGUCUCCCAGCGCCAACCGCUCGAGGAGCUUCAAACUACCAUCAUGGCUGCAGCUUCCGAAGCGAGAAGGGAAGCAGGAGAGAGGAGGAGGGAGGGAGGAGAGGGAGCCCAGCACCGAAAGGAGGGGAGAGACAGACAGAUAGACAGACGGCCCAGGCGGAGGAGGAGGAGGAGGAGGAGGAGGAGGCGUCCAGCCACUCCACCCUUCCUAGCUCCUUCCGCCGCCGCUGACGAAAAAAGUAGUCCCGCACCGCCACAUCACCGCCUCUUCGGCUGCCGCGCCGGCCGAUUCGCUGCUUUUGCCGGACGUCUCCCUUCUCUCUUCUGUCCCUCCUUCUUUGCCAAACCCUGCACGGGAAGCGCCCGACUCGUUCUUCGGGGAAAAGGCCAAGGCCCGAAUUGGGAUUAAAGAGGCGCGGAGUUGAUGUAGAAUGAAGAGCGACAAAAGAAUUCAGUUCCCUUAUGCCAUAGUCCCCUGAUGACAAUCUAGUUCUAGCAUCAAAUGUUGCAAAGCCUCUUUACACGAUGUAUAAUUACUUGGGGUGCUACAGGAGGUGUCCGUCCUGUCUUCUACCCAUCCCCCCCCGCCAGCCUGUGCAAAACUACAAUGCUGAUCCGACCCUCGAAGAAAUCCAGUUUGACACCCUUUCUCUAAAAUAAAGCACAAACCUCA